GCUUUCACAAUAAUGUGAAAAGACAAAUGUACCCCCUCUACUUAAGUUAUUACAUAAACCAAACCAUAUGAACUUCACUAUAACACACCUAUCAAUGUAAGGUGGGCCACAUAUAAUCAUAGCCAUUCGUCAUGGACCAUCAAGAACCUGUUUUGUAGCUUCCCAAAUUGUUGGUGUGGUAAUGGUACUAGUGUUAAGCUAAAGAGAAACAAAAUCAACAAGAAACUAAACUUGAUCUGAGCCAAAAGGCCAACAAAAAAGGGUAGAUUAUGAAAAAUCAUUGAUCCUAAUACAACAAGGACAACCUAGACAAACAAUCGAAGGACUCCACAGAACACCUUUCAAAAACAUUUGAUUUAACCCACCCCACAUCUUGGAACCUUGUGCUUGUAUACACUUCCCUAGAGAGCGUGCAAUGUUUCAGAAAGUAUCUUCCUUUGUGCGCUGACAACCUCGUACACUCUUGGAGUAAUGAUGCAAUCAAGGCAUUAUCCAGAAAAUGUCAAACCAAUCUAAGAACAUCCAAAUGAUCGAGGUAAACUUGCAAUGUAUAAAUAAAUGGGACAAUUGCACCAAAUGCAAACGUUGGAAAGAAUUGCAUUCAGACUUCUCAGAUCACUUUUGAAGACUAUAUUCUUUCCCACCAGCCACCUGAAAGCAAUCACUUUGGGAGGAACCGGAUAGGACUGAAGAAAACAAUUUACCAUGAAGCAUCCACAUCUAUUUGCCUUCCAUGUGUAAGCACCUGGAUAUGUCUGACUUGAUCUGCUAGUAGUUAUAUUCUUCUCUCAAAAAAUUAGGACAUGCAUAUGUAAGGUGUAAGCAUGCUUCCAUAAAUGAAUUGUUCACAAAUUCUCCUUUGUAGGUAGUGCGGAAUGGUUGUGCAGCUUGUGCUUAGGGGCUCAGUAUUGGGUGGGACUAUAGUUGCAUGGAGUGUGAAGUGAAGUAGCAACAGAUUCCGGUGUGGGAGCAGGGAAAAAUCUGUUUGCAAAUGCUAGCAAGUAUUUUGAAGCGGAAGCGGAAGUAGGAGCAGGGGCAGGGGCGCGAGUCUGAAGCGUGAUUUGAAGCGAAGUGGCACCUAAUUAGAAGGAUUGUGCAACCAGGACAAUGUUGGCAUGUGUGUGGUGUCAAUAUGAAUUCUACCAUGGUCGAUUUCAAGAGCCCAAGUUAGCGAGGAGCGUUGAUUUCUUAUGGGUGGCUGAUCUUAAAAGCUUUGUUAAUCUACCAUGUAAAUGCCAGCCCCCAAUUGCUAGGAGAAAGGCUAAGAUGAUGAUGCAUCAGGACAUGAAUGGUCUCUUGAUGCACCAUGUAGGGCGCAUGGUUCAUCAAUCUGAUGAGCAACAGUGGAUGUGAUGCAAUUCAAGGUUGGAAGACACCAACCAUUCAACCUUUGGCCUUUUCUGGGAUGUUGCUAUGUUGUUUGUUAACCAUUUAUUUUUAGUCAUCAAGUUGAAGGGUUUUGAUCUUCCAAUCUAGGAGAAGUUUGGGAGAUUGCUAAACCAUUGUAUACCUAUCAUAUCAACAUUUUGGAUCACCAGACCAUCGUCCCACUACUACCAUCCUUUUCAUAGCUCGUUCAUGUAAUUGCUUCACACGUCUGUGGGGGGUUCAUGGAAUUGGUGCCAUCAUCAUAAAAAACCAUGGUCCCCAGUCCACCAUAUGGACUGGUGGAUGGGACACUAUUCACAUUGCAGUGCAUCAGGACCAUAUAAAUUGUCUGUUUUCACUUGGUCAUCUCUACAACAUUGUUUUUAACUGGAUCAUCUUGUUUGUAUUUUGUGUUGUUAAUAAACACCCUGGUGAUUCUAUCAGUAAAUGCCUUCUGAACUUGCUUU